AAAAAAUUGAUGUAAGAAAGUCUCGUUUGACAUUUCACUUGGAGUCUGUGCUGAGAAAAUUUCAUUGUUGCAAAACAUUAUUACGUACAUUAAAUAUACAUACAUACGUAAUUAGUUUUUUGUUAUUUUUCUAGUUGAAAUAUCUAUGACCAAAUUAUUUUGGCGAUUGCUGUCGAAGUGAAAAUCUCGCUCGGAUAUGGAUCCAGGUUCGCUUAGACUUUUGUCAUUGCCUGCCGAAGGAUAACCGCUAUUAAUUAAAAAUUAAAAUUGACAACUAAUCGUCAUACGUGGCGUAUGGUGAUUUAACCAUUGCAUUUUAAUGAGUCAACUCAGCAAGUCAUGACCACAGUAACUCUAAUACAUUAGAAGAAUUAGCGUAGAAACUAACACAGACACACCGUGCAACUCAUAAGCCCUAAAAGGGCCCUAAAUACUUACCCGAUACAUGGCUUGCAUGGAAUCCACCCAAAGUUAAGAAAUAAUUUAGUAUUAGAUGUUAAUUUAGUAUAUACAUACACACAUACAUAUGUAUGUGAAAAAAAUUUAAAUCCAAAGUUAUAAAUAAUAAAAUUCAGACAUCGAGUUUUGCACACAUUGUUUUUAUAAAUUAAAAUUGUUUUGGUAUUAUUUAUUUUACAGUAUUCAAGUGAUUCAUUAGAUUUUGAUUUUAUUCGGCACAAACAAAUCUUAAAUUAUUAUAGGCAAAUCUUUUUAUUAAAAGUUUUGGCAUUGCAAAAAGCUUUAUCAGUGCUUAAUUUAAUGCAAAGGAAAUUAAUUAAAUAUAUUGCUUCGCUGUGUAUAUUCGUGCUAUAUGUGAGAAGUACGACGAUAUCAUAUAACAAUAACGAAAUUAACAAAAAAAUUUACAAACUUUAAGAAAUAUAUUUAAUGAAUAUACACACUAUAUAAUAUAUAAUGUAUAUAUGUAAUAUCUAUAUAUUUUUAUGGUAUGUAUAUGCUUCGCUGUUGUUACAACUAUGUGUUUUAUGUAUUACGUUAUGUACAGACAUACAAACAAAUAAAAAUAUAUUUCCAACUUAAUUUAGCUUUAAACAAAUUAACUGAAAUCUAGGAAAGUCAAAGUCUAUUCACUGUCUUAAGCUAAAAAUUAUAGAUUAUAGAAUUAGGUAAAAAUACAUACACAAUUUGUGUAAAAAUUUACGUAUGCACGUGCUAUGAUAUUAUAAUUAUUAUUGUGUGAAAAACUGGCUUUGCUCAUCGAAUUAUACGAAUAAAAUAAUAACUACCACGCUACACCGAUCGGCGUUCAUUUACUACACUAAACUUAACGCCAUUAUUAACAUCUCAUAAUCACAAUUACCGAGAAUAAAAAUUCUCCAUUUGCAAAAACUAAUUAGAUUUACUAAGAGUGCAUAAAUAAUCCACGACGAAAAGCAACUUAAGUGGGGAACACCAAAUCAAAAUGGGUUCAGAUAUGUGCUUUAGGCUUUUUAUGUGCCCAAUACUUAAAAUUUACACGCAUAUAUUACAUUGUUUAGAUGUACGAAUUGUAUGUAGAGGUUCAAAUGUUGCUGUUGAAUUUGUUCUUAUUGUUGGCAAAAGCGUUUUACACGCCGUCAAAUGACUUCACAUUCCCUUUGUUGCCCUUGGUUUUGGUUUUCUGUUUUUAAAAGUUUUCGGCGCCAGAUACUGAACAUUCGUGGCACUCUGCCGACAACACUAUCGUCACUAAACUUCAUUAUCAUCAUUAUUAUUGCCAUUGUUGUAGCAGCACCAAAAUCAUUAUUGCAGUUAGACAUUUAAUGCAUUAUUGCACCGGUCAGCUAUUGCACGUAAUAAUUAUUUUUGUUUACAUAAUUUAACGUUUUGCGGGUUUUGCUUUCAGCCGGCAUGGGCAGCAUACCGUUAAACAGUUUCAUAAAUGUGUAUAUAGUUCUUGUAAUGUAAGCUUUUUUAUUUGGGUUUUUAUUGUUGUUGUAGUUGGCGCUAUCUGUUGUCUGUUGUAUGUCUUUUAUGUUUUGUGUUGUUGGUGUAUUUUCGGUGUUUGCUGCUACACAUACUCAUACAUAGAAUUUAUUACAACGUGGUACGUCUGGUUUGUCUGAUUUUAUUUUUAGAUUUAAUUCAGUUUUUACUAUUAGCUGGCUGGCUAGCUGACUGACUGCGGCAUUGUUUAAAGCUAAUGUAAGUUGAUGCAAAUCAAAAUGUAUUAUCGUCAAUUUGCAUCUCCAAUUCGAUGUCCGAAAGAUUCACCUCACGCAAAGAAUUUAUGAACAUAUAACGUGAAAAGUAAAUAUACAACCAGCGGAACCAUUUCAUUUGGGAUUUAUGCUCACGCAUAGCGCGACGUAUUUGUGCAGCCUCAUCCCAUCCCAAUAUACACCUUUAAAGAAUAUAAUGAGAAUAUAAAUUAACAAUGCAUUUCAUAAAAUUAAACAAAUUAAUAAGUAAAUAUAUACAUACAUACACAUAAUAUAAUAUAUAUGGAUCAUUCAAACUGUCUUUUAAUUUUUAAGAAAAUAGAAAUGUUCGAUAUAUUUUGUUUAAAUAGGUCGGACAUUACUUUAAUAUAUGUAUGUAUCUAAAUGUAUUUAUCGUUUUGAUUUUUAGUUGAAGAAUUAAAAUUUAACAAUAAUUAAAAUUUAAAUUGUUUAUGUAAAAAUUUAUUUAUUUAUUAUAUUUAUUCACAUGUAUUUGAAAAUUAUCAUAUAUAAUGACCUUUCGUCAUAGCAAAAAUAUAUUGUAUAUGAAUAUAGAAAACUUACAAAUUCUGACCUAAUUUUAGGAAUUACACCUU